ACGGCGAGUGAAGCGGCAACAGCUCAAUUUGAAAUCUGGCCUCCGGGCCCGAGUUGUAAUUUGCAGAGGAUGCUUUUGGCGAGGCGCCUUCCGAGUUCCCUGGAACGGGACGCCAUAGAGGGUGAGAGCCCCGUCUGGUUGGAUGCCGAGCCUCUGUAAAGCUCCUUCGACGAGUCGAGUAGUUUGGGAAUGCUGCUCUAAAUGGGAGGUAUAUGUCUUCUAAAGCUAAAUAUUGGCCAGAGACCGAUAGCGCACAAGUAGAGUGAUCGAAAGAUGAAAAGCACUUUGAAAAGAGGGUUAAACAGUACGUGAAAUUGUUGAAAGGGAAGCGCUUGUGACCAGACUUGGGCCCGGCGGAUCACCCAGCGUUCUCGCUGGUGCACUCCGGCGGGCCCAGGCCAGCAUCAGCUCGUCCCGGGGGACAAAGGCUCUGGGAAUGUGGCUCCUCCGGGAGUGUUAUAGCCCUCUGCGCAAUGCCCUGGGGCGGGCUGAGGACCGCGCAU
rnacentral:rRNA from 1 species